rnacentral:sRNA from 1 species
UCUUCUCAACCGUGUCACUCUUGAUAGAG